AAAUGAGGAAGUGGAAUAAGGAAUAACAUGAGGAAAGACAACCAAAUGGAAAAUGAAGCAUAACUUUAUUAUUUUGAUAAAACACACAGGAAUAAAAAAAUGAACAUCCCCUGGAAAGCAUUGCUGACUGUGAAGAGGUAAGCUGUAACCACUGAUGCGUGCACAACAUGGAGAACCCCAAAGAUCCAGGUGGUGCCGAGAAGGAACAGAAGAGCGAGGGCUCCUCUUGCACAAGACCUAUCACAUAUGAGAAAUGCGUCAGUGAAGAAAGCUACGUAUAGUCAACAUAUCUCCCAAAUUACUCAAAUUAUGUGGGAGUGUGACGAAAAACUUUGUAUAUGAUGACUCCAAAAGCCAAGAGAUUAACCUGGAAAAAGAAUUAAUUUCAAAGAAGAGAUAGUUUUCAUCUUAAAUUGGAUACAUAUAAAGAAAAUAAAUGGUAAAGAUUUCAAUAAGAUAGAAACUAAAAAUCAUGGCAUUUAUAUAGUUCUUUACAAUAUCACUGAAAAUUAUCAGUACAAGUGGUACCGAAAGCAACCUGUUUAUGAAACUUCUUCAGAUGUUAUCAUCAUACCUAAAGAUUGAUGAGUAUCAUCUGCUGCCACUAAUAUGAUUAAUAUAUACAUUAAGUUAAAUUUUGGUUUGGAAAGCUUUAUAAACACUAAAGAAAGCAAAUUUUUGUUCAGUAAUUUCUAUACUGUUUCUUUGAAGAAAUGUGUUAGUGAUAAUUCCGUGAACCCUUUAAAAAUUUAGACUGGAAAAGAAAAAUUGAAAGAUUGAAAAGAAAUAAGAAAACUCAACAAAACACUCUCAGUUUCUAAUGUGAGGAAAUGUUUGAAUGUACUUUCUCUCGUAUGAUUUAUCUAGAUUCUCUCCUAAUACAAAUGUUAAUAUUUCUUUUUCCUUGAUUUAACCGUGGAUGCUUUCAAAAUGUUAAUCAAUGAAUUAAAUGUUUGUUGUUAGGCAAAUAAAUGUUAACACAUUCUAUUAUUUGUAUUUUGUAAUAUGGGCUAAAUAGAAUUGGAGAGUUGUCACCCUUUUUAUUGUGACUGCAUUAUGAAAAGUUGCCUCUUAUUUUCCUUUUUCUAUAGUUUUGAAGACCUCCAAGUCAUAUUUGCAGUGUUAGAAGGCUAAAUGAAGGGUAUAUGUUAAAUGUAUAGAUAGUCUAAUAUGAGCAUGCCAAUAAUUUAAAAUAUUAAAUAUUAUAGAAAUAGUUGGAAGGCUAAUCCCUUAUGAAAUCUAUUUUAUUAAUUCAAGCAGAUUUUUCCAAAGACACUUUGAAAUGACAACAACAAAGUGCAACAUUAUAAUUUUCAGCUAAUUCUUCUACUAGUAAUUCAGAAGCUUACAGUUUUAAAACAUUUCUUUUUUCUAUCUUCUAAUGAGUUUUAUGUAGCCUCUCAAAAUGAAAUUUAGCAUAUUGUAGUAUUACAAACAGCAGUAUAAAAUAAUGGGCCUGAGAAUUUCAUGUUGCCACUUUUGUAUGGAGGGGUCCUUGAGAGGAAAUCUCGGAAGAAUAAGGGGUCUAGUCUCUAUUUCCUGUUUCCAAAUGUCCAUUACUUCUAAUUAUAUGAGUAAUUAAUCCUAAUUAUAGUAAUGCUUCCAUACUUUAGCAAUUGUAGAGGUGAGAUAAAGAAUAUUUAAAUUGAUUUAGGUGAUAGUUCCAUCCUCUUUGUAUGCUCAAAU
rnacentral:lncRNA from 1 species